CACUGGCACUGGUCGCAGUACUUCACGAACUCGGCACAAUGAAGUGCAGCAACUUCAUGGAUACUCAGCCAAUAGUACUCUUGCCACAGAAUCUUGUAAGCUAACACCCUACCCUCCAAGUGGUUGCCAUAGAUGCCCUCAUAGACCUCUCUCAAGGCAUAUUCUGUCUCAAAAAGUUGAAGAUAAUGAAGGAGAGGCAUGGAGGAAGACCGCCUGUAGAGCUUUCCUUCAAGCAUUACAUACUGCACGGACU
rnacentral:lncRNA from 1 species